UUCUUGCUAACAGAGUCCUUCCUUCCUUCCUUCCUUUCUUUUUUUUUUCUUUUAAUGCUCUCUUUGCCUUUAAAAACACUUCCCUUUCUGUGGCCCUGGGGAGCACUCUGCUUGCCGGAGGGGAUGCUGUUGAUUCAUCAAUUGUUUAAUUAAAUCUUCAAAUUUACUUGAAUUUUGAGUGUGUGUGUGUGUGUGUGUGUUUAACAGUUUAUUCCUUUGAAUUACAUGGGUGGCUGCUGAAUUCUCACCUACAAAUGAGGUGUUGGACUAGCAGAAGCUCUGUGCCCUGUAUUAGAAUUCUCUGGAGAGCUUGUUAAAAUGCAGGUUCCUGCACUGCACCCUCAGUGGGCCUGACUCAGCCUGCGGGGGAGGAAGGGUCGUCCCCGGCAUUUGAACAAUCAGCCACUCCUCCACCAGCUUAUUACCAUCCCUUUGCUCAUUUCCCAGCUCAACUCUUCAGUCUGCUUUUGAUUCAUGGGAAAAGGAAAAAGGCUUUGCUCCUUUUCUCCGAUGUAGAAACCAAGUUUUACUGAGAACCAAUCGCCUGUUGGGCAUGAGAGUAUUUUACCACACAAAUCAGUCCAGCGUGGAUGAAACAUUUCUUGAGAUUUUUUCAGAGGCCACCAAAUUAACCUACUUUUUGUCUAAAAAUGGCCUCUCCACCAUCUUCUACAGUACUCACCAUUCAAGACUGUCUUUCCAGAAGGUUCAAGAUUUGUUCUCUUGCUCCAAAAACUGAUUGUGUCCUGUGAAGGUGGGAUGCUUAGAGCUGCUCCAGCCAUUUAGUGACCUGAAGAAAGACAUCACUGAAAUGCUGAAGAUUACGAAGCUGAAAGUGAGGAAGAUAAUUCAAUGACAUUAUUGAGCAGCAGAAUUACCCCUGGAACCAACCAACUCCAGAUGUUUUGUUAUGUGAAAUUAAUGAGCCUCUAUUACUUGUUUAAGACAUUUUUAUGUAAGUGUUCAUACACACAGAGCCUAAGACAUACUUCCUUAUACAAGAGUCUAAAAUGUGUAAAUGGCAUUGCUUUGAGGGCAUGGAUCCUUCCAGGCCUAGCUUCCUAGUUGAUAGAAUGACUAAUUCCCUGAGAUAUAGAUGAUACAUGGUCAUCUGCCUCCUCCUAGCACUAUUUAGGUAAAUUGCUAAAAUAGAUGAGUUAUUGUACUAUCUCUCUAACAUUACUCAAUGCCCUCUCCUCAGCUGAGUUAUCCAUUAAGAAGACUAGGAACAUGGCUAGGGUAUAAUAAGCAAAGAAAAUUCAGAAAACAUGAUAAGAAGUUUAGCUUUGAUAAAUACUCCAGAAUUUUAUAAUCAGAAAAUCUAAAAAUAAAUUAAUUUAAUAUUACAUCAUGUAAGGUCUAUUAAUAUCACAUAUAAUAUUAAUACCAUAUAUAAAGUUCUGUGAUUUUCAUUAAAAUAUUGUUUUAAAUUUGAGUAACUGUGGUAGAGAUUGCUCAUGCACAUUCUCAUCUGGUUCUGCUCUCUAUCCUGGGCCAAUGCAAGAUGUACACAAUCUAUCUAUGUACACAAUCUAAGAUCUAUCACAAGCCAUUGCUGAUAGAACUGUUGGCUAAUCCUGGCCAAUGAAAUAUGAGGGAAAGAAUGCAGAAUUUCAGAAUUGCUAUGGACUCGUGACUACUGUGAAUUUCCUACUCUUUCUCUUUCCAAGUGGGAAUGUUUAUUGUAUUUUCCUGCUCCUUCUCUGCCAAUGUGUAUUGCAAGAAUGGGUGGCAAGAUAAACUCAUCUCUUUAGUUCCUAGUUCAUCUAACCAAGACAUGACACUUCUGGACAUGAUGGAGGAAAUUAUUCUUAUCACCUGGAGACCAUGCACUGUGUAAAGGAUGUAAUUCCUGGAUGUGAUGUUGACUUUUCUUCCUAAGCAAGUGAUUGUGUUCUUCAUAUAGACACAAUAAUAAACCAAUUAUUUGUGAUCAAAAAGGCAGACCGCAGUGGAGAUUAUCUGUGCUUAUCCAUAUCCUUUUCUCCUUUCCUUCCUGGGAAGAUGAGAAUCCCAGUCACCUUGAAGUUAUUAGGAUCAUAAACUAGUUCUAGCCAAUGAGAAAGAAGAGAAAGUGCUAUAAAAUUUCUUCUAUGUCAAAAUAUUGUAAAGUCAGUUUGCCACCUUUAUGGUCUUGUCACCUCCUUUGGCAAUA